AAUCUGGGGCUGUUCGGUCGUCGCUGCCGGGAGACCGAACUGCCCGAAGAGACCGGCCAUUCUUCCCCAGCGCACGGAUUAUCUCAACGUUUCUCUAGAUUCCCCUUCUUAUCUCACUUCUGUUCUUGUUGACCUAGCCAACAGCGAGGAGGGGACAUGCCGUAGCGCCGCCACGGGAGCACAUCUAUCAGCCUGCCUCUCCAUCCCUGGUCGCCGGCCACACCGCAGCGCUGCCAGCCAACCGUCGACCUGGCCGCCGGCAGCGAGCCGCGCCACCUGGUCGCGACCCUGCCGGAUCUCCGACCUUGGGCGCUGCUGCCGGACCUCCGUCACAGGCCACACCACCACGCAGAUGCAGCUCUGCCCGUGGCUCCUCUUCUCCUAUGUUUGCAAUAAUUGGAGGCGAUGGCAUCUGCUCUGCAAAGAUCAUCCAGUUCCUGCCCAUGUUAUAUACACACAAUUAACCAUGUAAUUUAUUUACUUUGGCUGCUGCCACAAUCAACCAUGUUACAUAUGCAUAUAUGCUUCAUCGACAGAGUUGGUUCAAGAGUUCGGUGAAAAAGCACGAGAGGGAAGUGCAAGGCCGAUGGUUCUGCUGCCGAUGCAUCCGCGGCGUUGGGCAAGUCAAGCAAGGUUGCUUGAUGAAUGGUUCACUUCCCUGCAACUUCUAUUAUCUAUGUGCACUUGUCAACUAUUAUUUGUCAAGUUUGUUUGAGAAUGUGAGAUUGAAACUUAA